UUAAGCGACUAAGCGUACACGGUGGAUGCCCUGGCAGUCAGAGGCGAUGAAGGACGUGCUAAUCUGCGAUAAGCGUCGGUAAGGUGAUAUGAACCGUUAUAACCGGCGAUUUCCGAAUGGGGAAACCCAGUGUGUUUCGACACACUAUCAUUAACUGAAUCCAUAGGUUAAUGAGGCGAACCGGGGGAACUGAAACAUCUAAGUACCCCGAGGAAAAGAAAUCAACCGAGAUUCCCCCAGUAGCGGCGAGCGAACGGGGAGCAGCCCAGAGCCUGAAUCAGUGUGUGUGUUAGUGGAAGCGUCUGGAAAGGCGCGCGAUACAGGGUGACAGCCCCGUACACAAAAAUGCACAUGCUGUGAGCUCGAUGAGUAGGGCGGGACACGUGGUAUCCUGUCUGAAUAUGGGGGGACCAUCCUCCAAGGCUAAAUACUCCUGACUGACCGAUAGUGAACCAGUACCGUGAGGGAAAGGCGAAAAGAACCCCGGCGAGGGGAGUGAAAAAGAACCUGAAACCGUGUACGUACAAGCAGUGGGAGCACGCUUAGGCGUGUGACUGCGUACCUUUUGUAUAAUGGGUCAGCGACUUAUAUUCUGUAGCAAGGUUAACCGAAUAGGGGAGCCGAAGGGAAACCGAGUCUUAACUGGGCGUUAAGUUGCAGGGUAUAGACCCGAAACCCGGUGAUCUAGCCAUGGGCAGGUUGAAGGUUGGGUAACACUAACUGGAGGACCGAACCGACUAAUGUUGAAAAAUUAGCGGAUGACUUGUGGCUGGGGGUGAAAGGCCAAUCAAACCGGGAGAUAGCUGGUUCUCCCCGAAAGCUAUUUAGGUAGCGCCUCGUGAAUUCAUCUCCGGGGGUAGAGCACUGUUUCGGCAAGGGGGUCAUCCCGACUUACCAACCCGAUGCAAACUGCGAAUACCGGAGAAUGUUAUCACGGGAGACACACGGCGGGUGCUAACGUCCGUCGUGAAGAGGGAAACAACCCAGACCGCCAGCUAAGGUCCCAAAGUCAUGGUUAAGUGGGAAACGAUGUGGGAAGGCCCAGACAGCCAGGAUGUUGGCUUAGAAGCAGCCAUCAUUUAAAGAAAGCGUAAUAGCUCACUGGUCGAGUCGGCCUGCGCGGAAGAUGUAACGGGGCUAAACCAUGCACCGAAGCUGCGGCAGCGACGCUGAUGCGUUGUUGGGUAGGGGAGCGUUCUGUAAGCCUGCGAAGGUGUGCUGUGAGGCAUGCUGGAGGUAUCAGAAGUGCGAAUGCUGACAUAAGUAACGAUAAAGCGGGUGAAAAGCCCGCUCGCCGGAAGACCAAGGGUUCCUGUCCAACGUUAAUCGGGGCAGGGUGAGUCGACCCCUAAGGCGAGGCCGAAAGGCGUAGUCGAUGGGAAACAGGUUAAUAUUCCUGUACUUGGUGUUACUGCGAAGGGGGGACGGAGAAGGCUAUGUUGGCCGGGCGACGGUUGUCCCGGUUUAAGCGUGUAGGCUGGUUUUCCAGGCAAAUCCGGAAAAUCAAGGCUGAGGCGUGAUGACGAGGCACUACGGUGCUGAAGCAACAAAUGCCCUGCUUCCAGGAAAAGCCUCUAAGCAUCAGGUAACAUCAAAUCGUACCCCAAACCGACACAGGUGGUCAGGUAGAGAAUACCAAGGCGCUUGAGAGAACUCGGGUGAAGGAACUAGGCAAAAUGGUGCCGUAACUUCGGGAGAAGGCACGCUGAUAUGUAGGUGAAGUCCCUUGCGGAUGGAGCUGAAAUCAGUCGAAGAUACCAGCUGGCUGCAACUGUUUAUUAAAAACACAGCACUGUGCAAACACGAAAGUGGACGUAUACGGUGUGACGCCUGCCCGGUGCCGGAAGGUUAAUUGAUGGGGUUAGCCGCAAGGCGAAGCUCUUGAUCGAAGCCCCGGUAAACGGCGGCCGUAACUAUAACGGUCCUAAGGUAGCGAAAUUCCUUGUCGGGUAAGUUCCGACCUGCACGAAUGGCGUAAUGAUGGCCAGGCUGUCUCCACCCGAGACUCAGUGAAAUUGAACUCGCUGUGAAGAUGCAGUGUACCCGCGGCAAGACGGAAAGACCCCGUGAACCUUUACUAUAGCUUGACACUGAACAUUGAGCCUUGAUGUGUAGGAUAGGUGGGAGGCUUAGAAGUGUGGACGCCAGUCUGCAUGGAGCCGACCUUGAAAUACCACCCUUUAAUGUUUGAUGUUCUAACGUUGACCCGUAAUCCGGGUUGCGGACAGUGUCUGGUGGGUAGUUUGACUGGGGCGGUCUCCUCCUAAAGAGUAACGGAGGAGCACGAAGGUUGGCUAAUCCUGGUCGGACAUCAGGAGGUUAGUGCAAUGGCAUAAGCCAGCUUGACUGCGAGCGUGACGGCGCGAGCAGGUGCGAAAGCAGGUCAUAGUGAUCCGGUGGUUCUGAAUGGAAGGGCCAUCGCUCAACGGAUAAAAGGUACUCCGGGGAUAACAGGCUGAUACCGCCCAAGAGUUCAUAUCGACGGCGGUGUUUGGCACCUCGAUGUCGGCUCAUCACAUCCUGGGGCUGAAGUAGGUCCCAAGGGUAUGGCUGUUCGCCAUUUAAAGUGGUACGCGAGCUGGGUUUAGAACGUCGUGAGACAGUUCGGUCCCUAUCUGCCGUGGGCGCUGGAGAACUGAGGGGGGCUGCUCCUAGUACGAGAGGACCGGAGUGGACGCAUCACUGGUGUUCGGGUUGUCAUGCCAAUGGCACUGCCCGGUAGCUAAAUGCGGAAGAGAUAAGUGCUGAAAGCAUCUAAGCACGAAACUUGCCCCGAGAUGAGUUCUCCCUGAC
rnacentral:rRNA from 1 species